ACAGAUGAGUACUAAGUGCAUUGCUGCCAAUUUACAAAAUAUUCAUUAGGUUGUAUAGUAGAAACAAUUGCUUCAUAAGUCAGAAACGCGCAUGUGACACCCUUCAUAUAGCAACAUUCAUAGACUACGAAAACCGCUUAGCGUUGCUUGUUAGUCU